CCCUUAGAUGUUCUGGCCGCACGCGCGUUACAAUGAAUCGUUCAACAGGUUUUCUUCCUGAGUCGAAAGGCUUGGGUAAUCCUUUAAAUACGGUUCGUGCUAGGGAUAGAUUUUUGCAAUUAUUAAUCUUGAACGAGGAAUAUUUAGUAAACGCAGGUCAUCAGCCUGCAUUGAUUACGUCCCUGCCCUUUGUACACACCGCCCGUCGCACCAACCGAUUGGAUGUUUUGUUGAAAUAUGUGGAUGUUUUUUGAGUGGAUUAAUUUUCGCUCGAUAGACAGAAACGUAUUAAAACUGAAUAUAUAGAGGAUGGUGAAGUCGUAACA
rnacentral:rRNA from 1 species